AAGAAAAUGAGUGUUCUCUUCAUCUGGUGACCUGAUCUUAUGUGACUAGUGAUGAUGAUCCCUCCUGAAGCAUCAUGAGCCCAUAUCUUAUGAACUGUGGAUUGAAAACAGAUUGAAGUUGAGGAAGUCAGGUGACAAUAUGAUCAAAAGAGCAUUGGAAAGACUGAGCAAAGCAACACUGUGUACUGACCAGACGUCACCACUACCUAGACGAUGACAAAUUCCCCACCUUCUGGCCUCAACUGUACUACAAUCUCCUCAACUCAGCCUCCUAAGUGGUGUAUAAUAGGUGUGAGCCAUCAU
rnacentral:lncRNA from 1 species